rnacentral:misc_RNA from 1 species
UACGUAGGGCGCGAGUGUUAUCCGGAUUUAUUGGGCGUAAAGCGCUCGUAGGCGGUUUGUCGCGUCUGCUGUGAAAGCUCGGGGCUCAACCCCGGGUGUGCAGUGGGUACGGGCAGACUAGAGAGCAGUAGGGGAGACUGGAAUUCCUGGUGUAGCGGUGAAAUGCGCAGAUAUCAGGAGGAACACCGAUGGCGAAGGCAGGUCUCUGGGCUGUUACUGACGCUGAGGAGCGAAAGCAUGGGGAGCGAACAGG